UGUAAGCGUAUACCAAAGUUGUUGCAGUUAAAACGCUCGUAGUCGGAAUUUGGCAGUUCCGGAUGUGUGCACGUCGUGUGCGCACUUCGCGGGGAUUGCUUUUGUGAUCUUGCGUAGGAUGAGGCACUUUUAUUAGUGAACGUCCUCACGCAACCACUUUUUACUGUGAGAAAAUCAGAGUGCUCAAAGCAGGCAUUUGCCGUGAAUGUAUUAGCAUGGAAUAAUAGAAUAGGACUUGGUUCUAUUUUGUUGGUUUGUUGGGACUGAGUAAUGAUUAAGAGGGACAGUUGGGGGCACUUGUAUUUCGGUGCUAGAGGUGAAAUUCUUAGAUUACCGAAAGACAAACUGCUGCGAAAGCGUCUGCCAGGGAUGUUUUCAUUGA
rnacentral:rRNA from 1 species